GUAGUCCAUGCCGUAAACGGUGGGCGCUAGGUGUGGGGAUCUUUCUACGAUUUCCGUGCCGUAGCUAACGCAUUAAGCGCCCCGCCUGGGGAGUACGGCCGCAAGGCUAAAACUCAAAGGAAUUGACGGGGGCCCGCACAAGCGGCGGAGCAUGUGGAUUAAUUCGAUGCAACGCGAAGAACCUUACCUGGGCUUGACAUACACCGGAUCGGCGCAGAGAUGCGUCUUCCCUUGUGGCUGGUGUACAGGUGGUGCAUGGUUGUCGUCAGCUCGUGUCGUGAGAUGUUGGGUUAAGUCCCGCAACGAGCGCAACCCUUGUCUUGUGUUGCCAGCACGUAAUGGUGGGGACUCGCGAGAGACUGCCGGGGUUAACUCGGA
rnacentral:rRNA from 1 species